GUAGGGAAUAUUGCGCAAUGGGGGAAACCCUGACGCAGCGACGCCGCGUGAGUGAUGAAGGCCUUCGGGUCGUAAAGCUCUGUUGCAGGGGAAUAAAAAAAUGAAGGUACCCUGUGAGGAAGGAUCGGCUAACUUCGUGCCAGCAGCCGCGGUAAGACGAGGGCUCCUAGCGUUGCUCGGAAUCAUUGGGCGUAAAGAGGGCGUAGGUGGCUUGGUAAGUCAGGUGUGAAAGCCCAGGGCUCAACCCGGGAAGUGCAUUUGAUACUGCUGAGCUUGAGUGUCGGAGAGGUUACCGGAAUACCUGGUGUAGUGGUGAAAUACGUAGAUAUCAGGUGGAACACCGGAGGCGAAGGCGGGUAACUGGACGAACACUGACACUGAGGCCCGAAAGCGUGGGGAUCAAACAGGAUUAGAAACCCGGGUAGUCC
rnacentral:rRNA from 1 species